AUUGAACGCUGGCGGCAUGCCUUACACAUGCAAGUCGAACGGCAGCGGGGACUUCGGUCCGCCGGCGAGUGGCGAACGGGUGAGUAAUGUAUCGGAACGUACCAUUCAGUGGGGGAUAACUAUCCGAAAGGAUAGCUAAUACCGCAUAUUCUGUGAGCAGGAAAGCAGGGGAUCGCAAGACCUUGCGCUGUUUGAGCGGCCGAUAUCAGAUUAGCUAGUGGGUGAGGUAACGGCUCACCAAGGCUACGAUCUGUAGCGGGUAUGAGAGGAUGGUCCGCCACACUGGGACUGAGACACGGCCCAGACUCCUACGGGAGGCAGCAGUGGGGAAUUUUGGACAAUGGGCGCAAGCCUGAUCCAGCCACGCCGCGUGAGUGAAGAAGGCCUUCGGGUUGUAAAGCUCUUUCGGCCGGGAAGAAAUCGCAUCAGUUAAUACCUGGUGUGGAUGACGGUACCGGAAUAAGAAGCACCGGCUAACUACGUGCCAGCAGCCGCGGUAACAC
rnacentral:rRNA from 1 species